ensembl:snRNA U6 U6 spliceosomal RNA
GUGCUUGCUUCAGCAGCACAUGUACUAAAAUUGGACCAAUACAGAGAAGAUUAGCAUAGCCCCUGAGCUAGGAUGACGUGUGAAUUCAUGAAGUGUUUGAUAUGUGA